rnacentral:rRNA from 1 species
GAUGAACGCUGGCGGCGUGCCUAACACAUGCAAGUCGAGCGAUUCUCUUCGGAGAAGAGCGGCGGACGGGUGAGUAACGCGUGGGUAACCUGCCCUGUACACACGGAUAACAUACCGAGAGGUAUGCUAAUACGAGAUAAUAUACUUUUAUCACAUGGUAGAAGUAUCAAAGCUUUUGCGGUACAGGAUGGACCCGCGUCUGAUUAGCUAGUUGGUAAGGUAACGGCUUACCAAGGCGACGAUCAGUAGCCGACCUGAGAGGGUGAUCGGCCACAUUGGAACUGAGACACGGUCCAAACUCCUACGGGAGGCAGCAGUGGGGAAUAUUGCACAAUGGGCGAAAGCCUGAUGCAGCAACGCCGCGUGAGUGAUGAAGGCCUUCGGGUCGUAAAGCUCUGUCCUCAAGGAAGAUAAUGACGGUACUUGAGGAGGAAGCCCCGGCUAACUACGUGCCAGCCGCCGCCGUAA